rnacentral:lncRNA from 1 species
CUGCUGUGGUUGCCUUCCCUGCAAAGCUUGUUUGUGAUGCUCAUCUCUGAAAGAUGCAUAGUAUCUGCCUGCCUUCAAAUUAAAAAAAGAAUCAAAAAAAAGAAUGUAUGAACAGCAGGUAGACUGGUCAGCAGUGAUUCACUCCCUGGCAGCCAUGAUGAGAGCACCACGAGCUCAAUUCAGCCCUGCUGGAGGUGACUAUUUCUCCUUUUCCUUUCACGGUAUUGCACCUACGUUACACCAGCGAGAACGAACCCUUCCACAGCAAUACCAACCUCAGGGGUCUCCUAGCACUUCUCCACCUGCCUUGGAAGGACAGACAGCCUCUCCCAACUGCCCACAGGUGGAAACAAGCUGCAAGCCCUCCAUGCUGGUCUUUUGCAAUAGCAAGCUCUGGCACAGAGGGGGAAGGAAGAUGCUCAGACUCCAAACUGGUCUCUAAU